UCUCAGUCUCUUCUGUUACUGAAUCUGUUGGAUGCAAUGCAGAUGCCACAUAACCAGAUGAAUUUUGAAUCACAGAAUGGCCCGGGUUGGAAGGGACCUCAAGAUCAUGAAUCUCCAACCCCCUUGCCACAAGCAGGGCCACCAACCUCCUGAUUUAAUACUACAUCAGGUUCCCCAGGAUCCCAUCCACCCCGGCCUUGAACAUCUCCAGGGAUGGGGCAUCCACACGGUUUCAAGCUAAUGGAUCUCAAAAGGACAACAGCCAGUUUUAAGGGCAGAUGAAGAAGCAAAUGCUUCAUUCUGACUAUGACAACCAGAUGGCAUGGAGCACGCUGAAGCAACCACCAAGCAGUGCCUUGAAGAGCAGUAUAGCAUCGGUGCGAGAAGGUCAGAUGUUGGGGCAUGAUUUUCUGGGGCUUCACAUCCACGAGAUGGUGUAACAGCAUCACUAGAUCAGCAGAGGAAACAGCUUUGAGGUGAAGUGUACAGGUAAAACAUAUAUCUACAAACUCUUUUUCCGGGGAGAGAAGACAAGAUUUCAUGCCAGAUCAAAUCAUGUAGAUUAAAUGUCAACAGCCAUAAACUUCAGAAAGAAGGUGCAGCAACACACAGUUGUUUUGGCUUCUCCAUGCCUGGUUUGCUGUCAGUGUGAUUAGAGAGAAGGAAUCCUUCUUGAAGGAUGUCUUCCAAGAGCUGAGGUGUCACAUCUGAAUUAAGUUCACAAAGGACAAACCAAUUCUGAAUUUUGUGCCUGCAGUAUCCCAAACAUGUAUGGACAGUUAGUCUGAAAGUAUAACGGGGACAAAGAAACAGACUUUGCCAAAGAAAUAUCAACAGGACUAUCAAAAAGCUACUUAAAAUGUUUAAGACUGUGAAGACUUAGGGUUUGGACAGAAGUGACUUAGCACAUUAUGGAGGAAGGUGCUUGAACGUGCUUCUGAGGGCAGCUGUUUCCUUUCACUUCUGCCCUGUACCAAAAGAAAUGAAAGAAGAAAGAAAAACAUAGGAAGAAAGAGAAAGAAAGGUGUGAGAGACAACUUUCAUGUACAACUGAAGGGGUUUCUGUGCUGAAUCAAAAAUGUUCGGUGUUGAAGAGAAUGCUUUGGCUUUUGAAUAUGGAGAGAAGGAGACAUUUCCCAUCACUGUGACUAGUCUUUUUAAAUGGAACUGAAAUGGAACUUUCCAAAAGUCCACCACUUCGCAGCAACUGGUGUCCUCUGCGAGAGGGAGGCACAAUGUUGGAAUUUUUCUAUAGAAGAUAUGUAAAUGCAAAGCAACCUGAGAGCAAGCACACUCCAGUACUGCAUGUACAAUCCAGAGCUGAGAUUUCCUGAGGAGAAAGUGCCCAAUGAUGGAAUUUUACUUUCCAAGUGUGGAUGACUGAAGGACAGUUUGAAAAGCCUUCUAUCAAUAUUAGAGGAUACUUGAAAGAGUUUAGAAUCUGCUUCCGCUUUGAGAUGAGGAGGAGACAGAUGUGAGAGAACAUGUGAAGGCUGGCACUGGCUUUGAGACGAGGAGCCACAGGCUUCCGUGGUGCCGCUGGAUACCACAGACCUAACCAGUGUUGUUCAGCUCCAUUAAUGCUUUUUGAUUUGGAAGCACAAAUGAAAAAGUCUCUUGCAGUGGCCCAAAGAGAUGAUAUCUAGAGAGUCUAAGGCUACAAGCUUAAUGUGUGCCUGGUCUCUCCCAAGCUCCAGUUCUCGUUUUAUUGGAAAUUUACUGAAUCACCACGAAGAUUUGAGUUUAGUAUUAAAUAAUGAACAACUGGAAACUAGUAAAUUUAAAACCAUCAAAAAGCUUCAAGAUUCUUCUUGGAUGAAAUCUUUGUUAUCCUGGAUUUACAAAUCCUACUGUAAUUCAGUGACAGUCAAACUUACUUUUUCCCACCUUCAAAGCUAUAAAAAACUUUGCUUGCUACAGAAAUUGCAGAGCUAAAUAUACCUUCAGAUUUCUGUGAAUAUAAGCCAUUUCUCCCUGAAUUUUGCUGGCUAGAUUGAAUUUCUCUCUCUUUUUUUUUUAAGGAAAUACGUAACAGUUGGUAUUAACUUAUUAGGUGUACUUGGUAAGUAAAUGUAUUUUAAAACUUUUUUACAGAAUAUUUCUUUCAAAAUAGCUGUAAGAUACUGAAAUACUUGUUUUAUAACAUCACCUAUCAUGAUUGAAUGGAACGAGGUAAUGUCCAACACUGUCUGAGUAACUUCAUCCUUCUUCCAAAUUUGCUGAACGAUCAUUUACUGUUUCCUAUGUCAGAUGAUCAAGCAUUUUAUUAAUGAAUCUUAUAAAAAACUUAUUCAAAACCAUACUGGAAUUCAAUGACAGAUCUGAAAAUUGAAUGGCUUUUGUGCAUGGACCACCAUAGGUUGUAUCAGGAAGAUCCUGAUAUAACCAAGUAGUCCUCCAAAGACAAACCUCUCUCCAGGAGUAAAAUACGAGCUACAGUCCUGGAGGGGGUUAACCCUCAGUUUAAGAAUAGUUAUUCAUUCCUGUAAUUGAAUACAAAAGACGUAGGGAUUGAUUUUCACCUACACCCAAAUUCAUGGCUCCUGUGAGGGUCUAAGCUGCUGACAAAUAAUUUCAGCUUCAGCCAUUGAUUAUGCUUCCAUAGUGAACAUUAGAUAUACACUAAAAUUGAUAUAGCAUGUAUUGCAGGAGUCAUACAAUAAGUACUCCCCAUUUCUUAGCCAAUCUGUCACUACUCUUAAGCUGUGCCAUGCACAGGAGAUGUAGGAUUUGCCUUCCUAAGGAGGAAAUGGCCAUCAAGUAGAAAAAUGAAUUCACCUUUAUUGUACUGUGGUGAUGUGGUGAAGAUAAUUACUGCAGCUCUAUUCCAUUUAUUUUGAAACACAUAGCCUUUGCCUUUUCAAAUUGCCUUGACCAUAUCACCACUCGUGUAUUUGCAAUGAAAAUCUGACAUCAGAGGACAGAAUAAUAACAGGAGAAAUCCUCAUUUCAUAUUUACCUUGUUUACUCUCCUGAGUCACUGAAAACACAGUGACCUAGGUCCAUGCUUUUAUACUUCUUUUUACUAUAUAUACACACAUAUAUAAAAAAAUUAGCGUGUGUACUGCCAAACUCUGUAGGUCGCUACUCAUCUUCCCAGGUAUCUUCACACACCAUAAUUUCUGGUGCUUAGAAUUGGUAGACUGCAAAAAGUAGCACUCCUGUGUUCCCUCUCAUUCAUACUGUGAAUAAUCAAUUCUCCAAGAAUUUUGCUGCUGGUUUCUGACCAGCCAAGCCCAUAUCAAAACCAGCCAAAGUCUAAUCAUAAUUUUGCCAAUUAAAACUUGUGUGCUAUCAUUUGGUGGUUUUUUUUGUUUGCUUUUUAUUUAUUUAUUUUUAUAGCCUAAAGCAUACUGUACUGUCUGCUGUUAAAAUACAAUCCUUUCUGUUUACCUCCUCAUGGCUCACUGAAAAAAAAAGAUACAUGCUCACAAUGACAGCUUUCAAAAUGUUUUCUCUUUUAUUUCUUCAGAUUUCUCCUCAAAGCUUCAAUUUAAUCAAUAAUUCUAACUAGCUAUCAGAGUACUUAUCUUUAUUUUUCCUAAUAAAAAUGAAUAGUUGGAGUAGAAUGUGUCCAAAGCCAUUUUUAUCCAUUCCUUCUUCAUGACUUACCUCUUCUCUUUUGUGUAGCGAAUUUUAGCAUUUCAAAUUUUAAGGUAAAGAAAAAUCCUCUCCUUGAAGAAGAAUUUCUCAUCAAGAGAGCCUUUUUUUUUAAAGUAAGGAUAGCAAAUCCAGCCUGAUGGAAUAAACACCUUAAGACAUUUUCCA